rnacentral:tRNA from 1 species
AAAAAAAAAAAAAAAAAAAAAAAAAAAAAAAAAAAAAAAAAAUAAAGAAUUUUAUCUUUUGUUAGAA